ensembl:lncRNA
GAAACCUCAGACAGAGGAAUUCACUUGAUGGAGGUGAGAGGGUUUUACGGGAAACGCUGAUCCGUAAGUAACAAAGCCUACCUGACCGUACUCCUCUCAUUAACCUUUAAACUCCUUAACUUUAGGAAAUUAAAAGUGCUAUCCAGCACAACAAAUAACUUGGACCUGCUUGGACUCCAAGUUUGACUUAUUGACUUUGGGGUCUUUUUUCUCUUGGCAGGAGAAAAAUGUGGAGAACUUUAACUUUUCCCUUAUAAUUGUAUGAUUUGCAACGGACAAUCAGUCACCGGGAACAUCGCCGCUAAACUGGCCUUGUAUAACAGAAGGCAGGACGGCAGAGGAGUUUGGCUGGUGCACCAGCUCGAGGCCUUGAACCAGACGUUGAGCAAUCUGUUUAUUCCGCACUGAAACUGGUACUCAUGCUGAUAGACAAAUAACUGGUGGGAUUCAGUUACCAUGUUUUUUUUUAACCAUCUUACAGAAACACUCUCAAAAAUCAAACCACCAGUGUUGAGAUUUUUUUUUAAUCUUCAAAGGGAAAACGACAUAAAAAGGAAACCCUUUACAGCUCUUUCACAACAAUACUUCUUAUAAUUGAAUAUUAAAAGGUCUGAUUAAAGCAAAUUAGAUUUAAUGCUGCUUUAGCGCCUCUUAAUGUGGCACAAUCAAUAUAGUGCAAACAGCUAACACUUGCACCUAUGGCUCCUUUAAAUUUUGAACUAAUAGUGCUUAAAUGAUUAACUUCACCUCUGGGUAUUCACUCUUUGCCAUUCACCCUCCCAAAUUAGGCCUUGAUUAAAACUUCUUUUUAUUUCCACAGUUUAGGCCAUCAUAUUUACACAACUGCAACACAACAACAGGAUAUCUUCGAUAACUUGCACGCCUGGGAAAAAAAAAAUAGAAGCAGCUUGACGAUCAAACAGGCCGUGACGGACCGAGUUUAGUUUGAGUUUACUCUGACCCUGAAUGCAGCGGAUGAGUUUGAUGCGUUUCUUAUAAAAUAGGAAACUGUAACCAGUGGCAGUAACCUGACAGUAACUACAGGUCACAGCUGAACCAGGAAGUCUGUGUGUGUGUGUGUGUGUGUGUGACUUAUGUUUUUCCUUCUUUGCAAUCCUUUUUCAGGAUAUCCCUUUAUUUGUGGCGUGAUAAUAACAUUGCACUCAGCAAUUAGGCUGCUGACUGCAAUGUUAUUAUUACUGAAAGUAAUCAUGGUAUCAGUGCUCGUGCGUGUAUUUGUGUGUGUGUGAUAGGUUAAGAGGAGUGCCUGCGAGGGUGAAUGUGGGGGGCCUGUGUGUUCCAGCCGGCGAGCCAGCGGCGAGGAGCAUGUGGGAAGACGAAGGUGUAGCUGGGCGCCCUCCCCUGUGGAAGGUCAGCCAGAGGGGCCCAGGCAUCGAAGCAGCACACUAUACCAGCUGUGCAAUCAAAAGGACCCUACGCAGUCUGGCUGAAUUAUGGAGGAAACCUUUGGUAGGGGAAACAAAUUCUGAUCGGGAUACCUACCUUGGCGCCACCGUUGUGCAGGUAAAGCCAAAGGCAAAAUAUGCUUCAUCAUUUUUUCUAGUCUUUGGUUUGGAAGCAUAUGUGGCGAUACUUCAUCUUCUGCUUUGUAUUUGUGUGGGAGCCCUGCCAAAAACCUGUCCAUUAUGCUAUCAGUGUCCAAGCAUUCGUUUUUUUAUUCAUACUGCGCCCCCCCUGCAAUGGCUCUGUGCCCCCCUAAGGGGCGCGCCCCCACUUUAGGAACCACUGAUUUAAACAAACCUUUUGUAACAAUGUCCUUUGGACAGACAAGACCAGCGUGAAUCAGUUUAGCUAAUGUUGGCUUUAACAGGCUAUUGCACUGGGAAAGCUUUUUCACAUGACUGUAAUUCUACAGCUAUAAUUAGACAAACCUAUUUUUUCCUGCUUUAUCUUAAAAUAUUCCCCUGACGUGUCACUGAGUAGGGAAAAAAGGCAUCUAAUGAAAUGCUGUAUGAGUUACACAUUUUUCAACCAACCUGUAAGAAUGUAAACAUAACUGUGCCAGCAGCCUCUCGAAAACUCGUAAAACCACAGGGUUGGAAGACAGAAGAAACUUUGAAUAAUCAGGUCAGAAGUGCCACAACACAACAUUUAUUCUACGUCUAUACAGAGGCUACGACUGGAUGCUUCAAGGUUAAAAGGGUACAACCACAGAACCGUGCAUAGCAUAAAGGUGAAACUGCUUUUGUAUCAUCACAAAGGUCGAGCUAUGACAGACUAGGAUCGAAAUCUGAAAGUAUUGUUUUCAAACUCCUGUCUUCGUUUUGUUUCUUCAAGAAUUAUUGGGUAAUUUCACACUUUUACUUGAACUUCUCACAGCUGUCAGACCUAUUAAACCAACUGCAGGUAGGCACAAAACAGCGGAAAUAUUUUAGUUGCUAACACAACAACAAUGAUCAUGAAAUAAUUUUCAUGUAAUCGGAUUAAAAAUGGAAGAUGGAAGACAUAUUCCCCCUUUUUUCUUGAGCUGAGAAUGCUUAAAACUUCUGAAGUCUCGGCAGAGGAGUUAGCACGUUCAACUCUACACCAUGCUCACAGCCAGAAAUACACACACACACACACACGACAAAGAGCCUGUCCUCAGCAGAUGUCCACAACCUGCACGCUGCUAAGCUCAGAGGAUGUCCCACAGGCACGAUGAAAGCACAGGAAAGGUUUCAUCGAGCUACGCUGACAAGUUAUGUUCGACAGUUAUAGUGCAUUGCUGGACUUGCCUGAUAUAACUCAAUAGGCGGAUCCAUCGGAGUAUCAAAUGACAGAAACGAGCCUUUAUCCACCCAAAGUCUAACAGGCCUGUUCUAGGUCCCUGAAGCAGGCACACCGAGCUAUAACGAGCAUGUUUGUGUGACUCAGCAGCGAGACUGCUGAGUCACACAAACUCUCCCCGGGCACACGGGAGAUAAAAUGUCGAAAACUGGAAUUACAUGGGCGCAGGCCGCGCAAGAGAGUUAAGGCUGGCAUCUAAUUUACAAUUUGAUAUGCAAUAAACCGCUGGCAAAAUAUGGUUGUGUAACACGGGGGAAAAGAGCAGAAAAAGAAGAGGAGGAGAGGAAGCAAGGAUGUUGCUAAAGGAGACUAGAAAGGAUAGUUGG